GACGAAGGUGGCAAGCGUUGCUCGGAAUCACUGGGCAUAAAGCGCGCGUAGGUGGCUUGAUAAGUCGGUGGUGAAAUCCCAUGGCUCAACCAUGGAACUGCCGUCGAUACUGUCAGGCUUGAGGGCGGUAGGGGAGAGUGGAACUCCUGGUGUAGCGGUGAAAUGCGUAGAUAUCUGGAGGAACACCGGUGGCGAAGGCGGCAUCCUGGACCAACACUGACACUGAGGAGCGAAAGCCAGGGGAGCAAACGGG
rnacentral:rRNA from 1 species